rnacentral:rRNA from 1 species
AUUGAACGCUGGCGGCAGGCCUAACACAUGCAAGUCGAACGAGUGGCGGACGGGUGAGUAAUGUCUGGGAACCUGCCCGAUGGAGGGGGAUAACUACUGGAAACGGUAGCUAAUACCGCAUACCAUCAGAUGUGCCCAUAUGGGAUUAGCUUGUUGGUGGGGUAACGGCUCACCAAGGCAACGAUCCCUAGCUGGUUUGAGAGGAUGACCAGCCACACUGGGACUGAGACACGGUCCAGACUCCUACGGGAGGCAGCAGUGGGGAAUUUUGGACAAUGGGGGAAACCCUGAUGCAGCCAUGCCGCGUGUAUGAAGAAGGCCUUCGGGUUGUAAAGUACUUUUAGCGGGGAGGCGUUACCCGCAGAAGAAGCACCGGCUAACUACGUGCCAGCAGCCGCGGUAAUUC